CUUGUCGUUUCUAAGAGUAAAAAACCGAAAAUAGCCUCAAUGUCCACCAGGAGGAGACCUGGUGACGUGAAUAACACAGCCAUGCCACAAACUGCCUCAAGCAAAGGCAAAGAGAGAGAUGAACCCCUGGCCAAGUGUAGAAUCAAGGCAGAAAGAAGAGUGUGAGGAGGUUCACCAUCCCAUCAUAGCGACCAAAGAAGCUAUGGCACCCUGGCCAGGCCCUGCGUGUGAUCUGGUUGCACCUCACAAGUCCCUUGACAGAUAGGCAUCUCUAAGAUCCCCAUUUCAAAGAUGAGGAAACUGAGGCCCAGAGGGUGGGGGCCUGUUCAAGGUCACACAGCAUCUAGGGGUGGCCUGAGCUGUCUAACCACCAGGCCACUGGGCCUUCUGAGCGAGCAUGUCUU